UACGGAGGAUCCGAGCGUUAUCCGGAUUUAUUGGGUUUAAAGGGUGCGCAGGCGGGAGAUUAAGUCGGCGGUGAAAUUUUGCAGCUCAACUGUAAAAGUGCCUUCGAAACUGGCUUCCUUGAGUGUGGAUGAAGUAGGCGGAAUUUGUGGUGUAGCGGUGAAAUGCUUAGAUAUCACGAGGAACUCCGAUUGCGCAGGCAGCUUACUAAACCACUACUGACGCUCAUGCACGAAGGCGUGGGGAUCAAGCAGGAUUAGA
rnacentral:rRNA from 1 species